rnacentral:lncRNA from 1 species
GCUUUGGCGUUUGGGAAUAAUUAUUUAACAGCAGCUUGUUUGCACUUUGGAACACCUCGUGCUUCCAGAGCCGGCCCAUCCUGCUGGGGAGGGGAGAGGUCCCAGCGCUGCUGUCUGGCAGACCUUGGUUUCGGUGGGCACCAGAAGCGAGGCAGAUUGCUUGCUGCUGCAACUUCACGCGUGAGCUCCAGGCUCCCCUGGUUGGAAGGUGCCAGGGAGUGAGGCGGUUUUAAGAUUCCUUCAACAUCAGGAUUCCCGAUCAUCUCAUCAACCGACUUGUUAAGAAAACUGAGGCCCAGGGAAGUGGCUCACAAUUGUGUAGAAUUGUGAGGUGUCUUGACUGCUGGGCCAGGACUGAAGGACGUACGCCCUCUCCCGGAAUCGUCUCAGCUACAGAGAACCACCUUGCCCAAGGUCACCACCCUCUUGCCAAGGGGGUCACUUGGAUCUAAUGAUUGGUUAAUGCUGGGGGGAGGGGGUGUGCACAGGGUGUGGCUUCCAAGGGGAAUGUGGAUGCUGGAAUGAGGGAGGCAGCCACCUAGGCCGGUCAAGUCAGAGGCCCAGCAAGGAGAAAGCGAGCCAAGGCAAACGCCGACAGAAGAGAACGAUAAAUCCGCGGCGCACUCGGCAGAACGUACACCGCACCGCAUAAUUUAGCGGGGCAAUGCCGCCGGGAGUCCACGCCAAGUUAAUGGAAUAUUUCCUGUAAAUAUUAUUUUCCCUUCCUGUCUCAUCAUCUCAUUUCAUUCAAAAAUCUUUACUAAUCCGGGGGAGUGAAAGUAAUGCAUCAAUUUCCAGAGCCAAUGCCCCUGCUUCCGAAAUACCCUUAGGAAUCACUGGAAGCCACCGCGGCUGCUUAGGGACAGGGGGGCAGGCCGUUUACUCUGGUUCCUUCUCCUAAUGCCUCAGAGGGGACCCCAUAGUGCUCCUAAUUGUGCAUCUAAGUGUACAUAAAAGCCCCCCUAAUUGCACAUCAAAUAAAUAAGUAAAUGCUGUCUGCUGAAUAUGUAACAAGGACUGAUGUUGCUAUUUCUUCCCAGGGGGGAGAUUUCAUUAAAUCUGGGCUGCAUUUCUAAGUGAUGAUUUACAGAUAUUGAAUAUUCUUUACAAGGGAGGCUUUUUUGGAGUUAUGUGCUUCACAAUAUUUGCUCUAAUGCUUAAAGCCUCAGAUACAGCCUGCUGGAGGUCUCUUUAUUCUAACUCUUAGUGUCCUUUUGGAAAGUCUUUUCUGCUUUAAUGUGUAAUGGCUUCCGAUGAUCAGAUGGCUGGUUUGUCUGCAGGUCUGGGGACUGUGCAACCCCCUGGUCUCCCAAUGCCUCAGUUACUGACGCUGCAAACAAGGCAGAUUGUCCCAGAGAUUAGAGCU